AUUGAACGCUGCGGCAGGCUUAACACAUGCAAGUCGAGCGAGCGGCGGACGGGUGCGUAAUGCUUAGGUAUCUGCAUCUUCGUGGGGGACAACAUCUCGAACGGGAUGCUAAUACCGCCUACUCAUAGCUGAGCCUAGUCGGAUUAGCUAGUUGGUGGGGUAAAGGCCUACCAAGGCGACGAUCCCUAGCGGGUCUGAGAGGAUGAUCCGCAACACGGGAACUGAGAAACGGUCCAGACUCCUACGGGAGGCAGCAGUGGGGAAUAUGGACAAUGGGGGGAAGCCUGAUCCAGCCAUGCCGCGUGUAUGAAGAAGGCCUUCGGGUUGUAAAGCACUUUCAGCGGGGAGGCGUUACCCGCAGAAGAAGCACCGGCUAACUCCGUGCCAGCCGCCGCGGUAAUUC
rnacentral:rRNA from 1 species